GACGAACCGUGCAAACGUUGUUCGGAAUCACUGGGCUUAAAGGGCGCGUAGGCGGGCGAGUAAGUCUGGGGUGAAAUCUUUCGGCUCAACCGGAAAAGUGCCUCGGAUACUGCUCGUCUGGAGGGAGGUAGGGGCAUGCGGAACUUCUGGUGGAGCGGUGAAAUGCGUUGAUAUCAGAAGGAACGCCGGUGGCGAAAGCGGCGUGCUGGACCUCUUCUGACGCUGAUGCGCGAAAGCUAGGGGAGCAAACGGG
rnacentral:rRNA from 2 species